rnacentral:rRNA from 1 species
UGAGUAACCUGCCCUGGACUUUGGGAUAACCCUCGGAAACGGGGGCUAAUACCGGAUAUGACGGCUCACCGCAUGGUGUGGUUGUGGAAAGUUUUUCGGUCUGGGAUGGGCUCGCGGCCUAUCAGCUUGUAGGCGGGGUGAUGGCCUACCAAGGCGACGACGGGUAGCCGGCCUGAGAGGGCGACCGGCCACACUGGGACUGAGACACGGCCCAGACUCCUACGGGAGGCA